rnacentral:lncRNA from 1 species
UCAAAUAUUUAACAAAAUACCAAAAGAAGUCGAUAGUGUGAUGGACUGUGCUGAUGAUCCCCGAGCUCGUAACGCGUCUCCAAAUCUAUAAAAACGAAUGAAUGAAAGCAAACGAAGUAAGCUUUUAUAGCUUAGUAAGUCUCCAGCAUAACUAAAUGUAUAAUUAUAAACACAUAAUUAUUAUAACCUUUUUAAUCUAUUCUACUGAAAUUUCAAUUAACACAACCAACUAACAUUCAUACAUUAUUCUACUCAGACCAUUUCAUUUAUAGUCAGAUAUGUAUACCUGUCGGGUGAAUUCAGUUUAAUAUAUAUAUUAUACAAAACAACAUUACAAUUGAAUGUAUACCACCGAGCAUAUAUAUACAUAUUAUAUACAUAUCAAACCGAUUGUAUAUGUACACUCAUGGUAAGUUCUAAAUCAAUUCAAAUCUAACACAAAUAUAUAUACAUCAAUCACAUCUUAUAUUUGUUUGUAUAUAAAUAUACUCAUUACGAAUUUAUACCUGAAUACCUAGGUAACAUCGAAAUACACAUAUAUAUAUAUAUCAAAUGCAUACAUGAUUAAUUAUCAAACACAUAGGCUCAACAUAUAUAUGUUUAACUACCACAUAUCACCAUAUGCAUUUAUAAAUUCAGCAAUCACAUAUAUCUAAUGUACAUAUGUAUUCAUCGAUUUCAUAUAAUCACAAAUCAUGGAUAUAUCCAUUGUAUAUUCUAACACAAUUUAAACAGAUUCAUCGGCAUUUUGCCUGCUAGGCUUAAAGCCUGAUUCAGUACACCGGCACUUAGCCUGCUAGACAUAUAGUCUGAAAUGUAUCACCGGCAUUAAGCCUGCUAGACUUAAAGUCUGUAUUACAUUCAAUCACUUUAUAAUAAUUCAAACUAACAAUUUCAUAUCUUCACUACCAUUCAAAAACUUUUACGUGAAUAUACAUACAAAAUCGAAACUUUCACAUACAUAUAUUAUUCUAUACCAAAUUUCGAUUCAAGAAUUUAUACAUGUGCAUUUAUACAUAUUCGAAUCUACCAUAUGAAUGUAUAAUUUCAUACUCAAUUUCAAAACAAAAACUUGUACAUAUAUAAAUGCACAAUCAAUCCUCGCAUACUUAAAUAAUGACAUAACUAAAUUCAAUACACAACACAUACAUGUAUAUUUGCAUGCUUAUUCGACUUUAUAUAUAUAUAUAUACAUACUUAUAUAAUCAUACAAACCAUAUAUAUAUAUACCUAUAUCUUAUACAUACCUUUGAUUUAUCCAAUAAUUUAUACAAGAUCAUACUUGUAUAUUCGAACAUGUUAUGUACAAUAUCUAUAGUCCAAAGUUUAUUCAACUAUUAUACUUUAAAUUAUAGCUCAAUCAUAAGAUAAAAAUUAGUAUGCAUGUAUAAAUAUUAACUUAAUAACUUUUAGUUGCUAAUAGACUUACCUCGGAUAUCAGCAAACACGAUCGACUAUUCGAUUAUCUUCGACUUCCCCCGAUCCAAAUUCGUUUUCUUCGUUCCUUGAUCUUGAAUUGAAAUCCCUAAGAUGGCCGAAUGCUAAAGCUUGAAGAACAAAGUUUCUUUCUUUUUGUUUCGGUGAUACAAACAAUGAAGAAAGAAAGAAA